UAAAUAAAAAACCUAGAUCCCUAAGACUUUAGCUAUCAGUCGUUAUUCUAAAGUUGGCACCCCAAAAAAAAUCAAGGAAGCUUCCGUCUUCUUCAUCUUGGACAAAACCAAAAAUCAAAAACACCUUGAAGAGGACCUAUUUCCGAAAAAAGGCUUGAGAGCACUCAAAAAUUGGAGACUCUCGUCUCUCUAUUAUACACGCCGGCGGAUUCCCCUUCCCCACCUUCAGACUUCAAUUUUCUUUGUGUUUUCAAUUGGAAAACAAUCACAACAAGCACACACACAUUGGAAAAGGAGGACGGAUUUGGGGGGAAGAGAAUAAGAUUUAAGAAAAUUUGGGUUCAAAAAUGGUGUCAGGUUGAAGUGGGUGUCCGAUUUGGAGUGUCUGUUUGAGAUCGAUUCUGGGUUCCGGUUUCAUCUUGCUGCUGUAUUUUUGUCGUGCUUUCUUCUUGGCGAAGCAAUGUGGAAAUUUUCUUUACAUAUCAAAUAAGAAGCACUUAACAGGUGUGGAUCUACUUAUCGGAGUUUGGGCAUUACAGACGCCCUAGGACCAUCCAGUCAGAGUCGCUCAUUCAGGAGUUUGCUUAAGGAGAUUUUUUUAGUUAUUAUGUUUUGAGUCUGUUGUUCUUUUUAUGUCAUCUUUUACUUUCUAGUUUUGAACAGUAAUGUCGAGUCUUUUAGGUGAUGUUAGAGUCUGUCAUAGUCUAUUUAAGUUUGCCGAGUCUUUUGUUAUUGUAUUUGUGUGUGGUGAAAUCAGAGGAAUCCAUCUCCCGCCAUUAAGGUAUAUUCGAAAUGUCAUGACAGCACCUCGAGGCUGUGGGAUCAUGAUCGGGCUCCCUAUCUUGAGGAUUAUCCGCGGCCCUGCAAUGGCUUCGAUGUUAAGGGAUCUGUCCGCGGCCCAGCAAAAGUUACGAAGACGGGGGACUCCCGAGGCAAGUAGCUAGAAUUAAUAGGCUCUGGUAUCUUGUCUAGCCGUCUCAUCCCCUUAUCUUUACAUUUAAUGCACUAUGUACCAUACCGUGUUCCCUCGCCUAUAUAAGAGGAACCCAUACCAUUUUGUAAAGGGCUGAUGUUGCUCCAUUUUCUCCAAGUGCAAUAAUAUCUUCUCUCUCUCUUCUCUAA